GCCAUGCCUCUCUGAACACGCUCGAUCUCAUCUGAUCUCGGAAGCUAAGCAAGGGUGGGCCUGGUGAGUACUUGGAUAGGAUAUAAAUAACAUUUCAAGACACAAAAAAAU
rnacentral:rRNA from 1 species